AGAACGUUUGAUUAUCGUCAGAACUGUAGGGCUUGUCCUCCAGAAUGUUGUUUGUGAAGGUAUUGUGUGUAAUCGCUGUUACUAUUGCCUGUAAUGAAUGCGAUCUUGAUUUUCGUGUCAUAGAUUUGACUCAUACUAUUGGACCGAUGGAGGUUAAAUUUCCAGAUCAGCCUCCAUGGAACUUUACAAUAUUGACAAGAGGGUUCAGUCGAAGUGCACAAAUUUGGCUAGAGUACAACUACUUUGGUUUGUCUGAACAUACACUUACACAUGUUGACGCACCUGGACAUAUGAAUAGAAACAGAGAGCGCAUGCAUGAAGUUCUUAUAGAAAGUUUGAUAGGCCCAGCUGUCAUAAUAAAUGUGAAAAGAAAAGUUGCAAUCAACCCUGGAUAUGGACUAACAAUACAAGAUUUGCUAGAGUGGGAAGCUCGAUUUGGUAGAAUACCUUGUGGUGCCUUUGUCAUAAUGAACAACGGGUGGUCAAGGAGAUAUCCAUUCGCUAAUAGAGUAUUUAAUACUAAUAAUAUUUCAGAUCCAACAAGCUUCCUAUUCCCAGCGUGGACUGUUGAGGCAGCGGAUUGGCUUCUUUCAAACAGACGCGUCAAAGCUAUUGGUACAGAUACACCAUCCCCUGAUCUAAGAAGUCAGCCGCAAAGAUUUCCGGUUCAUGAACGUAUAUUCCGCGAUUCUGUAUUAUCACUGGAAGCUGUGGCAAACUUAGAUAAUGUUCCAUAUCGUGGUGCAACUAUUUUUGUACCCGCUCUGAAAUUAUUUGACGGAAGUGGUGCGCCAGCUAGAAUGUUUGCAACAGUUCCGAGACGUAAAUGUACUUAAAUCCAAAAUAUAUCAUAUAAUUAAAAAUAUUCUUUAA